GAUUACUGAAAAACAGAGAUCGUGCACACUCAAACUAUGUUUAAAAUGAAAGAGUGACAACAGUUACUAAGCUGCAACUUCUGUAUGUGAUGAGUCCAUUUUGCUUGCCCAUGGUGGUCUCCUUAUUUCAAGGAACGUGUUCUUUUACUAUAAAUGUAACACUCAAACACCUGCCUUUUAAGUAAUUCUUUAAAUAGAGGAAGCAUUGCUUUAGAAUAAGACCAGUCAUUAGAAUGUUACAGGUGUUGGAAGGGGAGAAUUUGGGUGAGCCCCAAUGGGUGCAGUGCUGCAUGGCAGAACCCUUUGGGUGUGGGGUCUGUGCUGGGGCUGAGCAGAGCUGUGUGGAGCGCUGGAGGUCUCUUGGAACUGCAAAAUGCUGCGAGAUCUGGAAUCCUUUUGUUGCGAGGGUGGUGUUUUUCUAUGGAGUUCAGGAACAGGCUCAGUACAGCCCGCAUGGCAGUGUCAGACGGACCGCUGGGAGCACCCAUGGUUCUGGGUGUUCCUCUGUUGCUGUGGGUCUCUGGGGGAGCAGCGGAUGAGGACGGUCGUGCACUGCAGCUGUGUCUCAGAACAGAACGAUCAAACGAGGUGUGAAGGCUGUGGGAGCAGAAAUCUGAAUUCAGGUUCCAUAGGAUUUGGAGGGCAGCAAUCAAGGAAGGCAUUAACUCAGAUUGACCUCCAGCUCAGAGCUGUGUUUUCUGGACAGGAAACUCAUUCAGCUUUAGCAGAAGGACCUUGUUCUGCUCAGCCCUGUGCAUGUUUCAGGUGCUCAUCACAACUUAUUCCAGAAGUAGCUGCAAUUACGAUACGCUGUGUACGCAACUGGUACAGCUCAGUCUUAUUCCAUAUAAUUUUGAUCUGAAGAUGUUCACAUCAGGAUCCUAAUUUUCUGUGUCUUGGAUGUGCACAAUGAAUGGCACUUGGAAACUGCGCUGCUCUUCAUUUUCUUAAGAACUACAGAAAAUCCAAUCAAACAUGAACCCGAGUGUAAGAGGAAAAUAAAAACAGUCGUUACAGCA